rnacentral:ribozyme from 1 species
GGCAAUAAAGCGGUUACAAGCCCGCAAAAAUAGCAGAGUAAUGUCGCG